CGUGUAGGCGGUUGGGUAAGUCAGAUGUGAAAGCCUUCUGCUUAACAGAAGAAGUGCAUUUGAAACUGCUCGGCUAGAGUACGGGAGAGGAGAGUGGAAUUCCCGGUGUAGAGGUGAAAUUCGUAGAUAUCGGGAGGAACACCAGUGGCGAAGGCGGCUCUCUGGUCCGAUACUGACGCUGAGACGCGAAAGCGUGGGGAGCAAACGGGAUUAGAUACCCUGGUAGUCCACGCCGUAAACGAUGGGCACUAGGUGUAGGAGGUAUUGACCCCUUCUGUGCCGAAGCUAACGCAUUAAGUGCCCCGCCUGGGGAGUACGGCCGCAAGGCUAAA
rnacentral:rRNA from 1 species